CAGCAGCCGCGGUAAUACGUAGGGUGCGAGCGUUAAUCGGAAUUACUGGGCGUAAAGCGUGCGUAGGCGGUUUGUUAAGUCUGUUGUGAAAUCCCCGGGCUCAACCUGGGAAUGGCAAUGGAUACUGGCAAGCUAGAGUGCGUCAGAGGAUGGUGGAAUUCCCGGUGUAGCGGUGAAAUGCGUAGAGAUCGGGAGGAACAUCAGUGGCGAAGGCGGCCAUCUGGGACAACACUGACGCUGAGGCACGAAAGCGUGGGGAGCAAACAGGAUUAGAUACCCGAGUAGUCCCUGUCUCUUAUAA
rnacentral:rRNA from 1 species